rnacentral:rRNA from 1 species
UACGUAGGGUGCAAGCGUUGUCCGGAAUUAUUGGGCGUAAAGAGCUCGUAGGCGGUCUGUCGCGUCGGCUGUGAAAACUCGGGGCUCAACCCCGAGCCUGCAGUCGAUACGGGCAGACUAGAGUGCUGUAGGGGAGACUGGAAUUCCUGGUGUAGCGGUGAAAUGCGCAGAUAUCAGGAGGAACACCGGUGGCGAAGGCGGGUCUCUGGGCAGUAACUGACGCUGAUGCGCGACAGCGUGGGGAGCAAACAGG